UACGGGGGGAGCUAGCGUUGUUCGGAAUUACUGGGCGUAAAGCGCACGUAGGCGGAUCUUUAAGUCAGGGGUGAAAUCCCGAGGCUCAACCUCGGAACUGCCUUUGAUACUGGGGAUCUCGAGUCCGGGAGAGGUGAGUGGAACUGCGAGUGUAGAGGUGAAAUUCGUAGAUAUUCGCAAGAACACCAGUGGCGAAGGCGGCUCACUGGCCCGGAACUGACGCUGAGGUGCGAAAGCGUGGGGAGCAAACAGG
rnacentral:rRNA from 1 species